rnacentral:rRNA from 1 species
UACGUAGGGUGCGAGCGUUAAUCGGAAUUACUGGGCGUAAAGCGUGCGCAGGCGGUUUUGUAAGCCAGAUGUGAAAUCCCCGGGCUUAACCUGGGAAUGGCAUUUGGGACUGCAAGGCUUGAGUGCGGCAGAGGAGACUGGAAUUCCCGGUGUAGCAGUGAAAUGCGUAGAUAUCGGGAGGAAUACCGAUGGCGAAGGCAGGUCUCUGGGCCGUAACUGACGCUGAGGAGCGAAAGCGUGGGGAGCGAACAGG